GCUGCCCUGCCUCUGCCAUUUAAAAUGCUGCAAGCUGGCUCAUUGCCUUGUUAAAACCUCAAUCCCAGCUAAGCCCCUCCAGAUGUCUCUUGAGUGAUGACUUUUCAUAUAUUAUGCAAAUGCAGCAUAAAGAGGCCGGCAGGUCAGGGCCGUCCGUGUUUAAUGAUCCAGAGAUGCUCUGAAGGGGAGCAGGGGUUUCAAAUCUGAACACUGUCUUGACUAAAGAUUUCUUCCCUUCUUUCUGUGCCUGUAAGCAGGACAUCCUGGGACUUGGUACCUCUGCCCCUGCAGAAUUAGAGGAGAAGGAGCAUGCAGGUGUGGUGGGUGGGAAGCAGGCAAGUGCACAGGUACGUGGGUGUGUUGGGAGUGGGAAGACGGCAUUAGAGCCCUCUGGGCUGUCUCUUCAGAUGCGCAGCAGGGCAGCAGCUUCAUUGUGUUGUGGGAGCUGAGCCUGGUGCUCAAGGCAGCGGCCUUGAGCAGCCUGGAGCAGCACCAGGGCCGUGCCGCACCAGGCUCUCCAGUUUGGAGGAUGCCACCUCACUCUUCUGUGGGAACGUGAGCCUGCUCCUGGGCCUGGCAGGUGAUGGGCAGAGCAGGUACUGUGGCCUCGCAGACAGGGGCUUCUGACCCUGUGAAACUUUUGGGGUGAAGCUUUGUCUACGAGGGCUCAGCUGGUGCGGUUUUGUCCCCACAGAGCAUGCUGAGUUGUUUUAAGGCCCAGCUGAGCUCUCCAUCACUUGCGAGCUCAGAGAUACAAUUGCAGCCAAGCUGUGGGACAGCACAAGGUCCUGGUGAAAGUAAGAGCUAUAGAAAGAGCCUUUCACAGUGCUCCCAGCAGAGCUGCCACAGCAGGCUGAAACCUACUUGCCCUGCAUAUGGCAGGGCCAGUGCUUUUUUUACUGGGGAUAGGCAUAAUUUUCUGCGUCUGCUCUUUCUAGCUUGCUGCUGCCAAUAUAUGACUGGUUUAAAGAGCAGGUUUUGAUUUAACAGAUCACUCGAGUGGGCUGGAUGAGGGAGCUCUCUCCAGGCAGCAAAGGGGGGAACCUUCUCCUGUCUGCAGGGAGUGUGUCUGCCCGGCACCCCAGAGCUGCUGCAGCCCUGCUGUGGCCACUGCUGCUGGGUGAGUCCUUGCCCACAGGAGCGGGAGCUGGGGCCACAGAGGCUGGCUGAGCCGCUCUGGGAUAUCUGCCAGGGUCACAGGGGUUAAGAGUUCAUGCGGAUCAGUCUGUCACCGUCAUUUUGGGGGGAUACCAGGGAAGGGCAAAGCACGAGGAUGAAGCCAUGCCAGCUGUUGUUUCUGACAGAGGGAUGGCAGCUGGGUAGUGCCAGAUGGCAGCUGCCAAGCUGGAGAGGGUGACUUUGACCUCCGCCUCGCCAGCAUGGAGCUGCCAUGCUCAUGUGUGCUUUUAGUCUUCAGCACUUGCAGGGGAGUCAAGGGGAAAAGGGAGAGGAAAGCUGCAAGGCAUUGUGCGAGCUGUGCUUCAGUAACAACUCUUUUGCCAACUAAAUUACCUGACUUUAGACCGGCUUUGAUGCACAGUUUAUAGAAAGCAGUCACUAAUCCACCAAGUCAAAUCGUGUUUCACCAGCACUUACUUGUGUCUUUUAAGAAUUGCAAAGGUUUCAUUUUCCUUGAUUUCAUGUCCUGUCUGUCGCUGGACCUUUAGGGCUUUAGGGGAUAGAGCAUGCUUUGAUUUUAAUGAAGCCUUUUCUUUUCAGAUGUCCUGGGCUCAGACGCUCUUUGGCAGUGAUAAGAGCUCAAGGGUUCUUCUGAAUGCAAGAAAAUAGCCGCAGUCCCUGGGGCACUGAGCUCAAGGGAGUGCUCCUCUGCAGGUGCACUGCUGGAGACUGGCCUUUGUCCCAGGCGGGGGGAGGCCUGGGAGGAGCAGGGCUACGGGCCACCUUUCCCAGUCUGGUGCCUGCUUCUUGCGUGAGGGCUGUAGACUGUUUCAAUUAAAGUCAUGACUGUUUGGUCCCAAGGUGCAUUAGGCCUCUCCCCACUGCCUGUGACUGACAGAAGAAUCAGUGCUGGAUUGCUAGGGGAGGGUUUGGACAGGGCGUAAAGGCUGAGACAAGGCUGGCUUGUCUGUGCAGGGGAGUAAGGCUGCAUGUGGCAGCCAGGCGAAGCAAAAUAAGCUUCCCUGCAAAGGAGAUUAAAAAUCUACCUGUCCCUCGCUGAGCUUGUGCUGGAACAGCUGUGUUCCAGUCUCCGUCCUCCCUCUGGAUCUCAUCCUUGCCGAUGAGGUCAGUGCAUGGCUUUCAGACCAUGGCAGGAGGCCCUGCCUGCUGUCUGUCAAGGCAAACGGUGGCUCGGCCACCUUGCUAACAAGGCCAGUGGGGAAUUAGCUGCCCUUUAGUGGUGGGAUCUUGGUGAUGCAGGAGAAGCCCUGGGUUUUAGUGGCAGCGGCGUGUUUCUGCGGGGGGGAAGUGUCCUACAGCAGUGCAAUGCACUGGCGCUGACGCAUCACUUGUGGACAACGUGCUUCAUAGCAUCAGUGCUAAGUGGCAACUGUAGUAGCUGUGAUCAACUCAGCAGCAGCUAGUCCUCUUCCAGAGAAAAACAGCUGCAAUAGCUUUUCCUUUGAAGUGUGGGACAAUAACAACAAAAAAGAUUUUUCUGAGUUGCUCUUGCUGCCAAGACAUGCAUCCCAAGCUUAUUUCCAGCUGUUCCAGACUUACUGACAUAAAAUAGGGCCUGGGACAGGCUCAGGACAUAGCUGGGAGACACCUAACAGACAGGGAAGCCACAUGCCUGGUCUUGCCAUCUUCAGAAAUACUUCACUGCAAGCCCAGCGUGUAGAAUGGUGAGUUGUAUUUUUACUUUUCUCCCUUUCUAAAGCAAAGGCAAACCUGUCCUCCGUAAAUCUUAGUGGAAGCAGGGCUUAAUGCUGACACUUCCUUGCUGGCUCUUAAAGGAUUAAUUCCUUAACAUUCAGAAGCCCUAAGGUUACAGGAAUUGCCUCAAACUGGAGCGUUAACAUGGUUCAUGGUGUUCUGCUUCGUGCUGUGAGACUAGAGAAACCAGCCGGCUCACCGUUCAGCAGGAGGCCAGCAGCAUGUGCUGGGGUUGGCAGGAUGCUCCCGGUUGUUUGGUGCUGCUUUGGAUGGGGGCAGCGAUGCUCCCAACAGACGGCUGUGCUGUGAGGGGUGUCCCGGGCUGGCCAGCCAUGUGGAAUCUCUGCCCCAGCACCCAGCCAGCAAACAGGUUCACAUUAUGGCUCUUCGUGGCAGGGGAAAGCCUGGCCAGAGGGGUUUCCUCCUGACGUGCCUUGCAUCUAUUGGUCAUCGCAUAUAGCCACAGAGAAUCGACUGUUAGCAAGGGGUGUCCUGGCCUGGACACUUGGCACUGCGCUGAAGGAAAAGUGUGCUGAAGGGAGGUGCUGCAAGGCAGUGUAGGAGAGGUCUCGUCCACGGCUGGUCACUGAUGAAUAUGUUGAACAGGACUGGACCCAGCACAGACCCCUGGGGAACACCACCAGUGACAGGCCUCCAGCCAGACUCUGCUCGGUUGAUCAUGACCCUCGGAGUGCUGAUCCUGAGCGAGUUCUGUGUCCACCUCACUGUCCCCUCCUCCAACCCACACUUCCUUAGCUUGCCUGUGAGGAUGCUGUGGGAGACAGUGUCAAACGCCUUACUGAAGUCGAGACAGACAACAUCCACUGCUCUCCCUUCGUCGACCCAGCCAGUCACGCCAGCACAGAAGGCUGUCAGUCAGGUUGGUUAAGCAUGGUCUUCCCUUGGUGAAGCCACGUUGACUGUUUCUGAUAACCUUCUUUUCCUCUACAUGCCUGGAGAUGCCCUCCAGGAUGACCUGCUCCAUCACCUUCCCGGGGACGGAGGUGAGGCUGACUGGCCUAGAGUUUCCCAGGUCCUUGGCAGGAUCCUGGCAGCCAACUCAGAGGGCAGAGGAGGCUGUCACCCACCACCCUCCACUCCCUCUGACCUUCCCUGCUUGUGGUGUUACUUUUCAAAUGAGCUCCAGGCAGGCUGGUGUCCAGGUCUGGGUCCGCGUGACAUCCACACCAACGUGUUCCCGGCAGGAGCCGUGUGGCUGGUGGCGCUCAGGGCAGCCUUGUCCCAGGGACCAGCCCUGCCGACAGCAACCACAGGAAUGCAUGCCAGGGCACGAGCUGACACAAGAAAUGGAGCCAGGAGAAACACUUCCUAUGCAUGUACCAAAAAUUGCGCCACUGCUCCACAAGGUCAACAACCAAACGGCCCUAACAGCUUCCAAGCCUGGUUACAUCUACACCUAAAAUGCAGUCACAGGGGAAGCCAGCCCACCGUUGCUUGCUAAGUCCAGGGUUCAGCACCAGUAUAACACAAUACUGUAAGUCUUUUCUUUAACGAUGGGGAACAACUGAUCUCUGCUGGAGUUCAGGAACACGGCAUCGCUUGUUCAUACAGCAUCUCAGCCGCGAGUAUCUCAGCCUUGCAUAUAAAGAAACUGAGGCCGGGCAGUGACCCUCCCCGAGUCAUACACUAGCAGAAAAGGGCUGAUGUCCUGGAACAGUAUGUUAGAAUCCGGGGAAGGGGCUUAUAUGGCAGCACAGGUCCAGUUUCUGUUCAGUAAUACAUACAUUUCCCGUCCAGACUUGAUGUACCUGGUUCUGCCAUAAUCUAUGGACCCUUGAUGUGAGUGAGCUGGUUUCCUUCUACUAGACCAAGUACAUUUAUAGAAGCACUAACUGAACAAGUCUUCGCAGCUAAAGCAAGAAACAGUCAACAAGAAAUGCAGCCUUUCAGCUUCUGGCCAUUCAAACAGGGGCCAUCAGCGUGUAAAGGAGCAGCAGCAUCUGCAGGAGGUGGAAAGCCUGAGUUUCCUCUCCCUUCUGUUCAUCUCCUCUGAGCUGUCGUAGCUGCUGCUUUGGCUUCCCUCUCUGAGCCUGGAACGUGUGGGAGCAGGGAUUCAGGGAUCCCUUUGUGUGGAACUGAUGCAGAUAGGACUCACUUUUCAUGCCCUGGCUUGCUCCCUCCCCUCUUUCCACGUUAAAAAGAAAGCCACAGCGAUUGCCUUCGUAUGCACAGAAGAUAAAGCUGGCCCCUGUAACAGCGCUGCCCUUCUCUAACAAGGACUGGGGCUUGUCACUAGCGAGGAGAACUACUGAAAUUAUGAAUAACGAGGAGAACUACUGAAAUUACAGAACACUUAAGUUCCCUUUUCAUUGUUGACUCCUGAGAGUUAAGUUAAGGACAAUUCCUAAUCUCUGAACUUUAGCAGGAAUGCUUCAUUUUGCUGACAGUAACUGCUACAACAGAAGAGCCUAACAGAAAAGCAGAUCAGGAAAUGUGGCUAAUCUUCUUUGGUCUCUGAGAUGAAAUGACUGAUGAUUGAGUUGCUUUUUGUUUCUUUUUAAACUGCUUAACAAGGAAUUUCUUACUUGGA